GGCGUGUCCUCUGUCUGUGUUUAUGUCACAGUGAAGGAGGCGUGGCCUCUGUGCCUGAGCAUGUCAGUCACAGUGAAGGAGGCGUGUCCUCUGUCUGUGUUUAUGUCACAGUGAAGGAGGCGUGGCCUCUGUGCCUGAGCAUGUCAGUCACAGUGAAGGAGGCGUGGCCUCUGUGCCUGUGUUUGUUAGUCACAGUGAAGGAGGUGUGGCCUCUGUGUCUGUGCAUGUCAGUUACAGUGAAGGAGGCGUGGCCUCUGUGUCUGUGCUCGUCAGUCACAGUGAAGGAGGCGUGGCCUCUGUGUCUGUGCUUGUCAGUCACAGUGAAGGAGGCGUAUCCUCUGUGCCUGUGUUUGUCAGUCACAGUGAAGGAGGCGUGGCCUCUGUGCCUGUGUUUGUCAGUCACAGUGAAGGAGGCGUGGCCUCUGUGCCUGUGUUUGUCAGUCACAGUGAAGGAGGUGUGGCCUCUGUGCCUGUAUAGCUGCCUAGGGAGUCUUGUUAGAGCAGAUUCGAUGUGUUCUAGUGUUCGAGACAGAGCUGCUUCUCUCUGCUGGUUUGUGAUGUGGCGUUUCUUCAUCCUGACUGAUCACACCUGAAUACGAGAGCAGCUGGAAUGAGUUUAAUGAGGAGUGAAGGACAAGAGUUCCCGUUUAGAAUCAGAAACACGAGGGAGAAGACUGAAAAGAGACUGUCCUCACACGCUCGCUCUCUCUUUUGUAAUCUCCUAGCAGCACCAGCGCUCUGACUGCAUUGCUGCUGAAGCACUAACGCGCUGUUUGUGAUGGAAAAAGACAAAUAAGUACUCGGCCUUUUGUCAUUGAGGGUAAAAAC
ensembl:lncRNA